GAUGAACGCUGGCGGCGUGCUUAACACAUGCAAGUCGAACGGACAGGCGCUGCUUUUGUGGCGUGCUCGAUUGCCGAGCGGGUGUGUAACACAUGAGUAACCUGCCCUUGUCUUUGUGAUAACUUCAGGGGACUGCGGCUAAUACCGGGUAGGAUCUCCUGCUCCAUGGUGGUGGAUAGAAAGAUUCGGCGGUUGGGGAUGGACUCGCUGCUUAUCAGCUUGUUGGUGUGGUAGUGGCUUACCAAGGCUUUGACGGGUAGCCGGCCUGAGAGGGUGACCGGCCACAUUGGGACUGAGAUACGGACCAGACUCCUACGGGAGGCAGCAGUGGGGAAUAUUGCACAAUGGGCGGAAGUCUGAUGUAGCAACGCCGGGUGCGGGAUGACGGCCUUCGGGUUGUAAACCGCUUUCGCCUGUGACGAAGCGUGAGUGACGGUAAUGGGUAAAGAAGCACCGGCUAACUACGUG
rnacentral:rRNA from 1 species